ensembl:snRNA U7 U7 small nuclear RNA
GAGUAUUCAUGUUCUUUUAAAAUUUGUCUAGCAGGCUUUCCAGUUUUCAGUGGAAAGCCCCC